rnacentral:lncRNA from 1 species
GCAAUUGGGGGUGAGUUCUGGUCGGCCAAAUGAGGGAUUAAAAAGAGGCUAGGGUUUCAAUUUCAAAAGGACCGAUUGUUUCAUUUUUUUGGGAGGAAUUGUUUGCUUUUAUAAAAGUUUUGAAACGGUACCGUGUAAGAAGGGUGGGGGGAGCCUUUUGCGCCUAAAAAUGUCUAUUUAUGCAACAAGUCCUUCCCCUUGUGCAUAGCCUUCAAUUUGCGUCCAAUUUGCCUACCUUGUGUUUUAAAAUUUGGCCUGCUAAUUUGUGCAUUAUUUCACUUUGAUCCGCGGUUCCAUGCAGCAUUGUAGGCACGAGAUAUUUACAAAUUCAGUCUUUAUACAUUUAUGCGCUUUGAGCAUUGGUCCAUAUUAUGAUUACUUUAUUUGUAAAUUAUCCUCCCUAUUUUAUUGCAGUAUUAAUUUGGUCUUACAGUUGUACAAUUGAUUAAUUUUUAAUACAUUUAAUAUGUGUAUGCCUUAAUCCAUGUUAAUAAUUUUGGUUGUUACAUUUGUACAAUUAUUUUUAGAUUGUUUUUUUUUUCACAUUAUGUAUCCUAUUUCUUUAAAUAUUUUAUAUGUAUUUGUAUGUUAAUCAUUAGUUUAAGUUUUUUAUAAUAACUAUUAUUUUGCAUGUUGUAAUAUUUUUUUAUGUAUUAUAUUGUUUUAAUACACUAUUAAUAAGUGUUGUUAAUAUAUUUAUAUACAUAAAUUAUUUAAAAUAUUUCUUAAUUUAUGUUUAAUCUGCAAGUCUUUAUGUACAUAUGAGACUGUUUUGGAAAAUCUAUCUUUGUAUUCAUAAAAUUGUUAUUUUGAAAACGUGUCUCCAUAUUAUGUUAUCCAAGUAUGUUAUUUAAUUUCUCUUUUAAAUAGUUUUAAGUAAAAUGGUAUGUAUGAUAAUAUAAUUUCACAUAUAUUUAUUUCUAAACAAAAGUUUUAAAUAAAAAAUCUAUCAUAUGAGUAAUACCUUGCCAUGAAUUAUAAUUUAUUCAUAUAUAGUAUAUUAUUUAAAUUAUUAUUAAACAUAUGUUUUGUACUUAUAUUUAAUUUGCAUCUAUUAUUAAAGCUUUGAUAUUCUUAUACAUAUAGAUUUUAAUAAACUUGUAAUUAAUUGCAUUUUUUAUUAAUUAUGUAAAUAAUUUAUGAUAAAACUAGGUUAAUUCUAUAAUUCAUAUUUUAAUUAAAUGAUAUUUGGACAUAUAAUUAUUUUUAACAUUUUUUCACAUGUAUAUGGCACAUAUUAAAUUAUUUUUACUAUGGUACAUGUUAUUAUUUUCAUAUAACUUUAUGUAAAUAUUUUUCUAUGUAUAUAUAUCCUGUUUAAAAAUUAUUUAUGCGGAUAAUGUUUUUAAGAACCCUUUUAAAUCAUAUAAUUUAUUGUAUUUCAUAUUAUCCUUAUGUUCUUUAUAUAUAUAUAUUUUGCUAUUUAUAUAACUUAUAUGUUUACUUCUUUUUUUUAUACAAUAUUAAUUUCAUUCUUUUUAUCAAUAAUUAUACCCAAUGUUUAUCUAUAUAUAAAGAUUUCAUAAAUUUACUUUAUAUAUUAUCUUAUAUCAUAUAUCAUGUGUCCACCCAUCUAUUUUGAAAAUGUCUUAUACUAUAUCGACCUCUAAACUCCAUUUUGUUUUCGUAUAUGAUAUGUUGGUUGACUUAUAUUGUGCCAUGUUUAUUAUUGGCGUAUAUCAUCAUCUAUUGUUUUAUUUCUUAUAUAAAUCAUUUGUCAACCACGUUUACGAGUUUGAUUAUAUUUUCUUGAUAAAUUAUGCUUAGUUAUAAGUUUGUUAAUUGGUAUUGCAUUUUAUGUAUGCAUAUUACCCCAAGUUUUAUUUUCCCUUUAGCCUACAAAUGUCGCAUUACAAUUUUCAACUUCCUUUUUUGAAAAAUUCUAAUUAAUUAUUCCAUCAUAUUUCAAGUCAAACUAAUAUGUUUUAAGCUAGUUUUAUAAUCAAUCAUUUAAAAAUCCUUUAAAACGAAGACGAGAUUCGAUCUUUGACAAUUCACGGAAUAGUGCCCUAACGUGUUGGGUUGCAAUUUCGCGUUUGCUCAAAAUAAUAGAAUAUCCCUUCGAAAUUUCACUCAUGCCUAUUAAAAAUUCUUUAAAACGAAGGCGAUGUGCGAUAUUUGGCAAUUCGCGGAAUCGUGCCCUAACGUGUUGGGUUGCAAUUUCUCGUUUUCUUAAAAUAAUCAAAUAACCCUUCAAAAUUUCACGCAUACCUUCUAAAAAUGAUUUAAAACAAAGGAAAUAUUCGACAUUUGACAAUUCGAGAAUCAUGCCCUAUCGUGCUGGAUUCUGAUUUCUCAUUUGCUCAAAACAAUCGAACAUUCCUUUAUAUUCUCACUCAAGUUUAUAAAAAAUACUUAAAAAUGAAGACGAUGUUCAAUGUUUGGCGAUUUGAGAAUCGUGCCCUGUCGUGCUGGGUUGCACUUUUUCAUUAGAUCAAAACAAUUGAAGAUCCCUUCGAAAUUUCACUUACAUUUUCUAAAAUCUUCUAAAAUAAAGGCGAUAUUCAAUGUUUGGCGAUUUGGGAAUCGAGCCCUAUCGUGCUGGGUUGCACUUUUUCAUUUGUCCAAAAUAAUCGAAUAUCUCCUCAGAAUUUCACACGUACUUUAUAAGGUAAGGCAAUGGUCGAUGUUUGGAAAUUCGAGGAAUCGUAUCCUACUACGCUGGGUUUCAAUUUUCCGUUAGACCAAAUAGUUGAGCAUCCUUUUGUAAUUCUCGAAUUAUAAACUUUCGAACAUCGAAACAAGAAGAUUUUGACAACCAACUCAGGUUACUCAAACAUUAUAAAAAAGAACCACAUUUCAAAAACUUUUUAAUUUUAGACAUAAGGACAGUACUUAAUCGAUUCGGUACCAAUUUUGGGCGUAGCGAGGGUGUUAAUCCUUCCUCAUGCGUAACUGACUCCCGAACCCGUUUUCUCAAAAGUUCGUAGACCAAAAUCAUUGUUUUAAUAAACCAAAAAAUGUUUUAUUAAACUAACCUCAUUUUUAGGUGAUCCGAUCACACCAAAACAAAAGAUCGGUGGUGACUCCAUAUUUCUGUUUUUCAAAAGUCAAUUUCCCCCUUUUCUUAAAUUUAAAAUUUUUUAAAUCGUGGGAUGGUUUCGAUAGCUUGGCGACUCCGCUGGGGACUUGAGAGUCGAGCCAUAAAAAUUUAUUAUUUACUGUCCUUUUGUCAAAAACCGAAAAUGUAUUUUAAAAAUCAUGUAUCUUUCGAUUGCAUUCGAUUGUAUGAUUGUUUUGGUGCGGGUCUUGUAGAAUAGUACUGCAUUUCAUUGCAUGACCACUAUGGUCACACCUUCUAAGUGAGAGUAAGAAACUACGCUUUCGUGAGGUUUUCACCUCCGCAUGGGCUAGUGGAUUGCUUCCGGGGUACAUCUGUACCUAUGAUUUCGUGAGAUUUUCAUCUCCGCAUGGUCAUAGGGAAAUGUAUCCCCCCGAACCGAACUCGAUCUAUAUAUGCCUAUAAUGGGUGAGGAUUGAGAAAUCUGCUGGUUCGGGUACCUUAUCCCUAGAACCGAGCCACAUAUAGAGAGACCUAGGAACUUACCCCGGGUAGAGCCACUUCGAAUCCCUAGUGAUCACCCGAUUAGGUACUUUGUCAUUUGUUUAUUUCUAUACUAAUGUGUUUUGUUUUUGUUUGUUCAUGACUGCAUUGCAUUACAUCAUCAUAAAAAGGAGGUGUUGAUUCGUAAUCAAUUGCUAAAUAGAACAAUUUGUCAUAAGAAAACGAAUUUCCUAAUAACGCGAGUUACAAUACGGUUGUCCGAAUUUGGUCCAAGUGAACACGACAGAAGAAGGCUAACAGUUCAUGGAGGAAAACAAGACUUUACCUAAGGAUUCAAGCCGAUAAAGAUUAUCCAAAAGCCAUCGCGUCCUGACUUUCUUAAAGAAGCUAAUCAACAUCACGAGGAUAGUAAUUCGUGGCCUGAUCAAGCAAAAAAGAUCCAGUAGAGGCAUGCAUUGGAAGCUUGCGAGAUUUGACUUUCACGGGGAUCAGUUCCCUCGCCAGGAAUACGAAAGCAAGGCUGUAUACAUAAUCCGUUUUAUGAAAAAGAAUUUGUUUUAUUGAAAAGUUGUUCUAGGGGAAUUGAAUUCAAAAUCAACAUCUUUCUUUCCUUUGCAUUCAUCCCGUGCAUUUGCAUUGCAUUGCAUCAUUUACAUUGCAUUGCAUUAUUUGCAUUACAUUGCAUCAUUUGCAUUAGAUUUCCCUAAAACGACCUUAAUUAGGUAAAAUUAUUUUAGAACCGACAAAAGAUAUGGACCAAAGAUUGGAGAGAAUGGAGCAAAAGAAAAUACAGAUGCAAGAGCAAUUGAUCAAAAUUCAACAAGAUAUGUGAGAAAUGCUAGAACUCCAAAGAAAUAUGAUGGGCCAGUUAACCCAUUUACUGGCCAGAGAAUUUGAAAAAAGGAGUGGCCCAGUGGUCAAUAAUGAGGAUGAUGUUGAAGGGAUCAUCUAUUCCCCAGGCUUUGCCCCAAUAAGCGUUCCGACCCAACCAGACAUGCAAGGGGUACCCAUUAUUAUCGGACACCAAUAUCAGACGGAUACAUCAGUACUGUUUAGCUUCUCGAGGGGUUCAGGUUUUAACCCGAAAGAUGAUCAAGCCAAGCCAGUUGUUCUGGCAAAAACGAAGGCAAGGGGAGAGUAGACUUUAAAGGCCCAGAAGGUAAAUAGUACGAGUAGGUAUAACAAGGGUCGUUCGGAGCUGAUUAUAGUAGGCCGACCAAGGUCAGUAACUACCAGCCAUCAGGCCUCCUCAAGGCAAGAACCCAAUCGAAGAUCGAGCUCAGAAAAACCCUAAUACAUGCCCAUUCCAAUCACGUACGGAGAGUUGUACCGCGUUUUGUUUGACGCACAUGUCGUAUCCCCUUUUUACAUGAAACCUAUAUUGCCCCCAUAUCCUAAAUGGUACGAUGCAAGCAGCCAAUGUGAAUACCACGCGAGAAUCACAGGGCAUUCCAUCGAGAACUGUACCGCUUUUAAAAAGAUUGUCGAAAAGCUCACCAAUUUGGGUAUCAUAAAAUUCAAUGAUCCCUCUGGAGCGGGAAAUCGGUUAUCCAACCUUUCUGUUAAAGAGGCGAACAUUAUGAGUUCCAUGCUGGAUUGGGGCAUGAGAUUUAAGGGUGCAUCGAGCUCGAAACUCUAAUGCAAGGCCUGGUAUUAGGGAACCCAAACAUCAACGACGUAUCAGAAGAGGGAACUCGGGAGUAGACUUUUUCAAGCUUCUAACCUUACGUACUUAGGGUGUUUUAAAAAAUGGGACUGUGAAAGAGAUCCUUGUAUUUUUAAGAGCUAAUCUAGAGUAAUAUUCAAAACAUACUUGUUGUUUUAAGCCUAGAAGCAACAAGAAUCCUUUUGUGAAAUAGGCUUAUAUCCAAAAUCUUUAUUUCAAUGAAAUGCAUGUUUGAGUAAAUUUUCUUUUAUUCUUUCCAUUUUAUACUGUACAAACGAUUAUUCUUAGAUUAUUUCAUUUAUGAUCAUACCAUACAAAUAAUCAUCCUUAGAAUCAUUUAUUGGAAUAUGCCUUCGUACCUAUAACAGGUCUCCAGACAUCAAUGACGUGAGCGACGCUGUCACUAAUUCCGAGUCUCUCUUUAAGAAAGAUAUGUGUCUAGAGGGAUCUCAGGACCUUGAAGGUGACAGAGAUUGUGACUUAUUUCUCGAUUUGUUAAGGACGGUAGAACAAGAUGAAAAAACUGAUCCUACUUUACGAAGGGUCAAUGGACAUUGUGAACAAGGGGCAAAGGUUGAAACCUGAGUCACCACAGGGACAAAAUGAAUUGUCUUUAAGUUACUUCAAGAAAUUAAAAGAUAUUUUCACAUAAUCAUGACGAGAUAUAUUUGAUAUUAAGAUCUGUGGAUGAUACAAAAUGUCUAUACAGUGCCAGAAGGACACGUGUCAAAGGUUUCAUGGUACCCACGCUAAUCAUGAGGUUUAGGUAUUGUUGAUCCACCAUGGAAGGGGAUUACAUUGGUUAAAGCCACAUUCAUUUCCUCACAGAUUUUCUCUAUAUGAGGCAAGGAUGUUAUCAGGCCAUUCUCAUCAAUUCAUCUUGGCAGUCAUUGAUUACUUCACGAAGGGGGUGAGGGUCGCUUCAUAUGUCAAUAAUUACAAGAUCAAUAGUCGUCAAAAUUCAAAAAAAAUGUGGGGUUGUUGACAAGUAAUGUCAGAAAGGAUCACUUUCAAAUACAACUGCACAAUCUCAAAAGUUUGCAGUUUGCUCAAAGAUCAGACACUAUAUCACAGUGCAGUAAAAGUAGCCAAAAAGAAAGAUAAAAGUUCAAAAAAAAGGGAAAAACAAACAAUAGAAUAAAUUCAUAGUGAAAAAUGACUAAGUCUUGUAAAUACUGGCAUAAAGAAGUUAUCAUUUACCCUCUAUAUUCGUCGAACGUCUGCCAGAACCUUCGUCGGGGCAACACAUUGUUCGAAACGAUUUUGAAAGCAAGAUUUCUUUUGGUCAAGUCUUAGCUGAAGUUGGAUUAGGCAGAAUAGAUCUAACCCCGAUAUGAUCAGUUGAAUUUGAAGAAAGGAGGUUGAAAGCCAUAUGACAUGGCCCAAUGUACCAGAAAUGAAUGAUGCAAGCUUACAUCGAAAAGGUUCUUCCUAGAGGAUUCCAUGAGGGGGACCUGGCACUGAAAAGUUCAUUUUUACACAAAAGGACUUCCAAGGAAAGUGAAAGGCCACGGCAAAAACCGUCAAAUGAUGCUUUGAGAUCUUCAAAAAAAAUAAGAGAAAAGAAGAAGAAAAGAAAAGAAAGAAAUAAAGAAGAAAAAGAAGAAAAGAAAAGAAAAGGAGAGGCCAAGGCGAAAACCCGCAAAGGGCGCUUGGAGACCGAGGGUAUUUUGAGUUGAAAAACUGAAAAGGGCAGCUCAAAUUUGAAUCAAAGUAGGGCAUACAGUAGUCUUGCUAUGCCUGAAUUAACAAUGAAGAAGUAUGCUACGUCUCGGGGCAUCGACAAAGUACCCCGGAUCCCCUAAACACAUAUUAAGCUCAGAAAGGUCCUCAAGAAGUUGGUACAGAGAAGCUCAAGUUGCGAUAUCUGGGGCACCUAGUUUCCAUUUUGCUCAUUUUGAAUUUGUUAUCUUUGAUUACCUUAUUCUUUUCAGGAUACGUCCCAAUAAACUUCCUUCUUAUUGCAUCGUUAUCAUUAAUUAACUUAUUCAUGUUGAGUUAAUUGCCUUUUAUUGUAUUUGCAAUUUUUGAUUAAUCUAUUUAUUUUGAGCUACCCUACUAAUCAAUUCCCUUCUUGACCAUUGUUUUGAUCCUUUUCAAGCAUUUUGCAUUGAAAUAACGAUUAAUGGACUAAUAAUACCUUCGCAAAAGGGUUCUGCAUAUUACUCUAGAAGCUUCUAAACAACAUAGGAACCUGAAACACGGCCAUCAUUUAGAAUUCACCAAGCCUAAAGGUUGAAAAUGUUUCUAAAUUGCGACUAUCUCUUUGAAUUUUCUGUCAAAGAUAUCAGUUGAAUGAAAAGGCAAGAUAUUUCGUCGGUGAUACAACCUCGACAAAUGACGAGCAAUGUCAACUAAGGGGGUUCAUUCUCGAGAAAAGAAAAAUGAUAUUCUGCAUUCAUCGAGCAUAUACAAUGGGUCAUUACACCCAAGGAAUGGUGUAAUAGAUCAAAUUGAUUAAAGAUGAAACAAAUCCUAUACUCUGAGUUGCAGUAGGUUGGAUAAGCAAAAACUCCAUAAAGUUUGAGUGGGGCAACAUUGUCAAGCAGAUGAGAUUGUUUCUUCGAGUUUUCUAUUAAGAAUGCCAGCUAAACAAGACAACAGAAUAAUACGUCAACAAUAAAACCUCAGUGAACGAUGAGUAAUAUCAAAUCAAGCAUUAAAAAUGCAAUUUUGCAUCCAUACAAACGUCAUUCAUAGGAGCAUUUGGUUCAAUCAAGUCAUGACAUCCUAAUCAUUAGGCAUGAACUCAUACACAUUAUACAGGUUGAGUCCUUCAAGGGACAAUGAGGAUUGAUGUUCCUUAAUCCCCUAAAUAAUAGGGUAACAAGCUAAAGCAUGGCAGUCUGACAUUCCUUGAAGCAGAUAACAGAUUUGGCGCCUCUAUAGCAGCGGAGAGCAGAUCGAAGAUAACAGAUUUGGCGUAUCUGUAGCGGCGGAGAGCAGAUCGAAGAUAACAAAUUUGGCAUCUCUGUAUUGUCAGAGGGCAGAUCGAAGAUAACAUAUUUGGCAUCUCUAUAGCGGCAGAGAGCAGAUCGAAGAUAACAGAUUUGGCGUCUCUAUAGCAGCGAAAAGUAGAUCGAAGAUAACAGAUUUGGCGUCUCUGUAGCGGCAGAGAAAAGAUCGAAUAUAACAGAUUUGGCGUCUCUGUAGCGGCGGAGAGCAGAUCGAACAUAACAGAUUUGGCAUCUCUGUAGUGGUAGAGAGCAGAUCGAAGAUAGCAGUUUUGGCAUCUCUGUAUCAGGCGGGGAGCAGAUCGAAGACAUAGCUGAUUUGGCUUUCACGUGUUUACGUUGAAGUAGAUCCAAGAUGAUUUUACAUCUCUGUAUCAGGCGGGGAGCAAAUCGAAGACAUAGCUGAUUUGGCUUUCACGUGUUUACGUUGAAGCAGAUCCAUGAUGAUUUGGCAUCUUUGUAUCAGGCAGGGAGCAGAUCAAAGACAUAGUUGAUUUGGCUUUCACGUGUUUACAUUGAGCAGAUUUGACAUCUCUGUAUUGUUAGAGGGCAGAUCGAAGAUAGCAGAUUUGGCAUCUUUGUGUUGACAGAGAGCAGAUCGAAUUUGGCGAAUCUAAGCUUCCUGAUAUUGCAGCGAAGCAGAUUUAAGCCAUCAUCCUAGCUCCCUAAUAUUGUAGUAGAGUAGGCUAAAAAUUACAGAUUUUAUCUCUCUGAAGCUGCAAUAGAACAGAUCAAGCUAAUCGCAGAAGAAUAUAUUAAAGCCAUAAACCUCAAGUUGCAGUGGAAUAGGUCAGAGCUACGAGUAGUUGCAGUGGAGCACAUUGAAGAUACUUGAAGGAAAGAAGCGCCAAGAAGAGUCGAAACUCAGCUGGCCCAUGAAAAAUUGGCCUUUUUAUAGUCUUUACUCUAUUCUCGUCACACGAUAAUGAGCAAAGAAGGGCAGCUGUAAUGCCCAAUUUUGGCCCGGGCCCAUGCAAACACAAAUCAAACAAAACCACAAAAAAAUGAAAAAUACAAUAAUAUAAAAAUCCAAAUGUCAAUAGUAGCCCAGUUUAUCGUCCAAUUACAAAAAUUAUGGCCCAACUACUAGAAUAGGCCAAAAAAGCCCAAAUUAUCAAUGUUCUAGAACCCUAGCAGCAAGGAACACAGUAGCCUCCAGCACUACCCUGAAUGGCGCCUCCACGUCGACACCACCAGCAGCCUCAGUACGCGCCAGCUACCCCCACCACGUUGCCUCCGUACCUGCAAAUAAAGACAAGAAAGGACGACCACAUCAGCAAUAGCAAAAAAACAAGCAGAGUAAUGAAAAAAGAAAAGGAAUUGUAUUUUUCUUUGUCGUUUUAUUUGGUUUGGCUAUAAAGCCAAGAACCUUUCCUUUUGUAAAAACUACGAACGGACACCAAGCAAUCGAGUAUAAAAAAAUAUUUUUGAAGGUGGUUCAUUUUUUCGCUGUUCUGAUUCUUAUUUUUUCUCUUUAUUUUCUCGCCUAGUUUUUAUCCUUUUUUACUAAGAUACACACACAAAAAGAGGGAAUCCCUUUUUUACGCAUACAUGUAUAGAAAUUAAGAGAAAGGAAUCAAAAAAAAAGAGUUUUUCGGUAGAAGGUGAUUAUCCUUCUUUUGUUCUUUUUGUUGGAGCAGGAUUUGCAUCGUUCUUUGGUGAUUUUCUUUCUUUCAUUUCUCAUUUUAAUAUAGAAUAAAAAGUAUUGGGAUAAAGAAACACUCACCUGAAUCAAUCGGGUUGUCAGAGUUGCAUCUUCCUCUUCGAAAUUAAGCCCAACUCAUUGCUAGUCAUCUAUUACAAUGAUAGUGUGGCGAUUGGGGGAGAGUUUUGGUCGGCCAAAUGAGAGAUUAAAAAGAGGCUAGGGUUUCAAUUUCAAAAGGACCGAUUGUUUCAUCUUUUUGGGAGGAAUUGUUUGCUUUUAUAAAAGUUUUGAAAUGGUACCAUGUAAGAAGGGUGGGGGGAGCCUUUUGCACCUAAAAUGGUCUAUUUAUGCAACAAGUCCUUCCCCUUGCGCACAGCCUUCAAUUUGC